rnacentral:lncRNA from 1 species
CGGGGAAAACGAGUAGUUAGUAACGGCGUUCGGUUUUGGUUCCAUCACUUUACCUCUGUAUACAGUUUACUGUAAAAAUAAAUUAUUCCUUCAUAUUUGGUGAGUCACUGAACGCCUUGCUCCUGGUACAUAAAAAACAUUACUUAACUUUUGUACACUUUUCUUUGAAAAGUGUUCUUCGGAGUUGUCUGUGAUUUCUUUUUUUUUUUUUGAUAUUUUUAUCAUAUUGUGAGAGAGAUGGAGGACUUCGAGUUCCAUCACUGGUGGAGCCUACGGUUAAAGUUUAGUUCAUUAUUUCACUUCCUCUGUUUCAGAUCUUUGGUUUUGUAACUGGUGAAAGCUCUUGAUCUGGUGUUUAAUUAGGUUGUUGGAGAUUUAAAAGGAGGAGAUGACGCUUUACAGGAGAGGAUUUGUCAUCUGUUUUUUCAGGUUUUGUAAUUCUCAAUCUCUGUUUUGAUGAUUUGAGCAGUUCAGUUUGUUUGCUUUGUUUCUUUUACAAAAGUUGUGAUCUUUUGUAGAGUUUGUUAUACUUAUAGCUUUAAAGUUUUGGGUCUCUAAUUUCAAAACUAUUGACCUCUAAACUCAUCAGAAUCAUACCGAUUGUUUCUUUUUCCUUCCUCUUACGCUUACGUUUUCUAUUGUUAUGUGUUUCAGGGACCAACGGAAAAUGGGCAAAUUGAUGUUCACUUUCAGGAUCUGUAUAGCGCAAGAACAACGUUCGAGCAGGCCCGACUUCAUUUGGUCAUCACUUUUUCUUAUGCUAUGAGAAUUUCCAAGAUAUUUCCUUUGCUUCAAUCUGCGAGUCAACACCAUCACAUGUAGCGCAACAUGAGUCAUCCUUGGUAUCGUCCCGUUAUCUAGAUCCUGAAUAGAAACUAAAUGGUUAGUUGGUUUAGCACCUAAAUCUAAAACUGUUAUUUUGUUUGUUUGUUUAGCCAUAAGCUUUCUCUUUGUGUGUUUGGUAUAAUCAGAGGAUCAUGGUGUGUAUUGCCUCUCUCUCUCUCUCAAAUACUUGAAACAGAAAUCUUUAGCUCAUUCAAGUCGAAGGCUUUAUCUAGAGUUCCCUAAAUGAGCUUUUGCUACAAUAUAUGUACA